rnacentral:rRNA from 1 species
CCACCUGUCUGAAGGCCGACGAGCCUAUGGCGAGGAGAGAAGAAUCGAAACAAAAAGGAAAAAAACUUUCAACAACGGAUCUCUUGGUUCCCGCAUCGAUGAAGAACGCAGCGAAAUGCGAUAAGUAAUGUGAAUUGCAGAAUUCAGUGAAUCAUCGAAUCUUUGAACGCACAUUGCGCCCCCUGGCAUUCCGGGGGGCAUGCCUGUUCGAGCGUCUCCUAGAAGAAGACUCACGCGGGGGAACGCGUGGUCGUGGCGUCGGCGACAGCCCCGACAGGGGAGCCGCCCCGCCGGAAUCGAUGGGCGGAGUCCUGUCGCGAAGUCGAGCGUGGUGUGACGCAUAUUCGCUCGAGCGCGGCGAGGCCUCCAGCCCCUGGCCCUGGAGUCUGGGCGGGGAGUGCGAGACAUUGGAACUCCUCGAAUCAGGUAGGGAUACCCGCUGAACUUAAGCAUAUCAAUAAGCGGAGG